rnacentral:tRNA from 1 species
GGAGAUGUGGCUCAGCGGUGGAACACCUGCCUUCCAUGCAUGAAUCACUGGGUUCAAUCCCCAGCACCCA